rnacentral:rRNA from 1 species
CUGCCCUAUGGGUUGUAAACUGCUUUUAUCUAGGAAUAAACCUACUUACGUGUAAGUAGCUGAACGUACUAGAAGAAUAAGGAUCGGCUAACUCCGUGCCAGCAGCCGCUGUAAUACGGAGGAUCCAAGCGUUAUCCGGAUUUAUUGGGUUUAAAGGGUGCGUAGGCGGCCUAUUAAGUCAGAGGUGAAAGACGGUAGCUCAACUAUCGCAGUGCCUUUGAUACUGAUGGGCUUGAAUGAACUAGAGGUAGGCGGAAUGAGACAAGUAGCCGUGAAAUGCAUAGAUAUGUCUCAGAACACCGAUUGCGAAGGCAGCUUACUAUGGUUUUAUUGACGCUGAGGCACGAAAGCGUGGGGAUCAAACGGGAUUAGAUACCCUGGUAGUCCACGCCCUAAACGAUGAACACUCGCUGUUGGCGAUACACAGUCAGCGGCUAAGCGAAAGCGUUAAGUGUUCCACCUGGGGAGUACGCUCGCAAGAGCGAAACUCAAAGGAAUUGACGG